rnacentral:rRNA from 1 species
UACGGAGGGUGCAAACGUUGCUCGGAAUUAUUGGGCGUAAAGCGCACGUAGGCGGUCCAGCAAGUCGGGUGUGAAAGCCCUCGGCUUAACCGAGGAAGUGCAUUCGAAACUACUGGACUUGAAUACUGAAGAGGAUCGCGGAAUUCCCGGUGUAGAGGUGAAAUUCGUAGAUAUCGGGAGGAACACCAGUGGCGAAGGCGGCGAUCUGGGCAGAUAUUGACGCUGAUGUGCGAAAGCGUGGGGAGCAAACAGG